UGAUGAAAUGAUCUAUGAACGGUGGAUCACUCGGCUCGU
rnacentral:rRNA from 1 species